GAUAGAGCAUGGAGCAUCCGAGGUUGA
rnacentral:sRNA from 1 species